UUGUUUUGCUAUCUCCUUGUGAGACAUUUUUAGUUUAUGUGUGUUAUUUUGUAGCUUGCUUGCAUUUUGUAUUAUGGAUUGUUUUGAAUUUUUUAUUUUUUCCAUUGUUGUUCGAUGUCUUUUUACAGGACAUUUUUAAUUUAGAUUCAUUAAGGAUCAACCAUCAUGUUUGCAGUUUCCUCCUAAGAUCUAUUCUCUUAUUAAUCAAGAAAAUUGUGAAUCUUUUGUGGACCCUAGACUGACCGAAGAAUGGAAGGAUUAUAGUCGCACUCAAAGGGAAAGAAGAUCAAAAUGCAUAUACAAUCAUCACAUUGCUCGUAAGGAAUAUGCAAAUCUUGCCAAAGAAUUAGAGGCAUUAGCUGAAACACAUAAAGAUGAGGACAUAUUGACUGAGGCAUUGGGUUCUAAGGAGCAUGGUGGACGUGUACGUGGCAUGGGUGGUUUUGUCUCUCAAUCACUAUAUUUCAAGGCAGUGAAAGGGAAAGGGAAAAUUGUAAGUUCUCAAAUUGAAGUAUGUCAUAUAGAGGAUGACUAAAAAAGUAAGAGUUACAAGAAGAGUCAUAACUACUCAAAACCGUCCAUCGGAAAUGUUAACAUAGAUCUCAAUGCCGAUGAGGAUUUGGGCAACACCCCUAUGAACGAAGAAGUGAAGGGAACACCAUGCAAAUUGGCUAUAGGAACGAUUAAUAAUAUCGUUGCAAUAGCCACCAUACUUGAUGAUAGCAAUGACGGUCUCAAUGUUAAAGUCUUGGUGGACUUGCUCACGGGAGGAGAUUGUAGUAUACCUAUUCCAGUGAAGGGCAAGAUAGAGACUUUAAAUCAAGCAUUAGGUAAUAUUGUUGAAUGGUCUCGUCGACUUGUUUAUGUGAUUCAUAACAAAGAAGAGCAUUCAACCCCGAAGGAUGUUCUGUAUUCUUUAAAUUACACAAAUGUUAAUGGAACCAUUAAGAUCUUAUAUGGACAUGUCGUGAAGAGUAUAAAGGGUGUAGAUAUGGUUCGUAUCCCAAUGAACGAGCUAAUAUUCGGUAAAAACAAAUUCAUUUAUUUAGAUCGUGAGGACUUGAUCCACUAUUGCAGCUAGUAGAAAUAGGCUAUAUGUGCAUCCUAGCAUACAUUACAUAUCUUUGGGAUGAAUGUGAUUGUGGAAACAAGUUUUUUGUUAUCAACCAAGCAAAAAUAACAUCACAUAUCAAGGAUCGUGAUCUCCGAUCCAGAAAUUUUGCCAACCAGUUAGAAGCGACUACCUUGGAACAAAUAGUUCUAAUUCCGUAUAAUACUGGUUUUCAUUGGAUGUUGCAUGUCAUCGAUCUUCGAGGGAACUGUGUUUAUGUUUUGGACUCUCUUCGAAGUAAAGUUAACGAAGACAUCCAUGGAGUCAUAAAUGUGCAAGAGGAGAUUGACGAGAUUCACACAAAAUGGGCAAGCUUUGUUAGUCGAUUUGGGUAAGCUUUAUAUAUGUGUUGUAUUGUAGUGUUUUAGGUGUUACUUUAUAGUGUAUUUGUUGUAGUACUAUGUGAAAAAUGUGUGUUAGUGGAGGAAUUUGUUGUACACAUACUUUAAUACUUUACAUAUUAUUUACUUGAUUGAUAUGUGUAUUUCUGUAGUAGUAUGAAAGUGUGGAAAAGUGUAUUUCUGUAGUUUGUCAUGGAAGUGUGGAAGUUUAUGUGCUGGUUUUGUAGGUGUCUUACAUGUUGAAUCCUAUGGCUAAAAUAUAUUAAUUUUCCAUGGAA